CCUCACUCUAAAAAAUAAAUAAAAAUAGCUUGAGAAACUACAGUAUCUGCGCUUUUAAAUUCAGUAAUAAUCUUAUAUUUCAACGUGUAUAUGAGCUUGCAGCAAAUCUUUGAACUACGAUAAGAGUUGCCGUAAACGUCAGUUUUCAGCUAUCGAGACAGACAAAUGCUAUCCCUUUCCGUUCCUCGCGCUAUUUAUAGAAAGGUAAAAACAGACAACGAAAAUUCACACACAGAUGCAGAAAUAAACCAGGAAUCUGAUUUUGUAAGUAUCUCGUGUAAAAUUGUAGAAGAAGGUAGGAAAUUAUUAAUAUUAACGACAUUUUUUUAUGUUUUUGCCAAAUAAUAAGUGUUAUCCUAACGUAGUCUAAAAUCGUUCAUCUUGUCAGUUCGUUAGGUAUUUGUGUUUGAACUUAACACACGGGGAAACUCCGCAUUGACGUCACUACGCUACUUCCGGCGUAGAAAAACAAUGUAGAAUACGUUUUUUCUGCACUUUUGAAUAAAAAACCAUUUCUGAAGGUAAGUUUUCAUUGUUGUUCUCAAUUAUUGCUAAAAAAUGCCAAAUUUCUAAUGCCCGUUUCAAUCCCGACUUCCGAAUGUCUAAAAACAUUCUAGAACUUCAUAAAAUCCCACUUCCGGCCUCCAUUGCUUUGUGUACAUUCCAUUCAGCGUCAUCAAUCUUGUGGUAGGCAAUACAGGUCAAGCAAAUCGUAUUUUUAAGAAUUUUAAAAUGACAUGCUCCUUACGUCUUUCGCGAUUUUCCCCGCGAAAAAAACCCAACCAAAAUGAAAGGAAAACUAAUUGAAAAAACGAUGCCCAUGCCAUAUUUUUGUACAGCAAUAUAGAGUAGGUUAAUGAAAAAUAAUUUACAUUUAUUUUUCAUAGAAUUUUCUUUUUAUUCAUUAUAAAAAGAUCGAUAUUCUGACCAUCAUGACUGUAGAUAAAUAUUCAUACAGAAUUCCACUGAUGUCAAAAGGGAUGGCAAAAAAGAGUUUUCCUGUUGAAUAAAAACCCAAAAUUAUUGCAAAACUAUUUUGAAGCAAUAUCCCACAAAGAAAUAACGUAAUUGCCGUAGACUGGAAAAUCCCCUAAUUGACAGUAGAGCAAUUUGAUUGGGUAGAACGAAUUGACAUCACGUGAUUUUGACGCCAUUGAAAUUUAAAUGUAAACAAACAAGGUCAGAAGGUUCAGUAUGGGACAGCAUCGUACAUUUAGUUACUGACAAAUAAUUAUGAGUUACCAAGCUUGACAAUGUAUGGUAAUAAAAAAUGAAAGCUAAGUGUACAGAAAAAAUAAGAAAAAAAUAGCCUUAGGAUAACGACUUAUCAUUACACCUGGAUAUUUCUAAAAAUAACGGAGGGAUCCAUACUUUUCCAAAAUCUAGAAUAUUUUCUCCGUGAAAUCAUGUUGGAUAUGUGUUGAUCUGUUCUACAUGAGCAAGGCGCGAUCCUGGUAAAGAUGGUAUGUUUCGUCUAUGAAAAGGAGAAUAAAGAUAGCCGUGAACGUUCACGACGUUACACAAAAGCACAUGAAAUAUUUGCUGAUUGGAUUCAGAUUAGAUCGAAUAAUAAAAUCGGCGCUCCGUAGAAGUGUCUUCCUAUUUUACAACUUUUGAUAUCGGUGAUUAACAAUUAUUUUUUAUUUAAUACUGUGUUUCAAUUUCAUCACGAAGAAAACUAUAUAGUAAUGUACUCUUCACACUGAUCACUCGAGGAUAAUUAUAAUCGCUGGUCUGGAAUUUCUGUUGGUUUGUAAUUUAGAUAUAUGGGUUAAUUCCCUUUCCAGGUAAAACUUUUGAGGCACUAUGCGGGAUAAUAAAUAAAAAGAGCUUCAUACAGAGUUGGCAGGACAAAUAAGCUAUAUAGUUCCAUAUAUUUUUAACUGACAUAAUAUAAUUCCCUAUGAACUGUAUUAUAUAGUUAGAUGACAGAAGGCUGUAAUGUUUAUAUUAUUUGCUAGGAAAAUCAGAGAAAAAUAAUAUAAUUAUGUAAAUAGUCAAAUAACAACUAAGUAGUAAUUUUUUAUUAUUAUUUUCUUGUUUGUAAUUAAUAUGUACUGAAGGGCCCUUUAAUUAAUAAUAGAAUGAUUUUUUUUUUUAAUUUGAUUUGAGUUCAAAAUUCAAAUAUAUAAAAAGGAAAAUGUGGUAUGAUUGCCAAUGAGACAAUUGUCCACACUAAGUUAAGAGACACAGAAAUUAACAACUAUAGGUCACUGUAUAGCCUUCAACAAUGAGCAAAGCCCAUACCACAUAGAAAAGCUGUAAAGGGCCUUGAAAAGACAAUGUAAUUAAACGAGAAAACUAACGACCUAAUUUGUGUACAAAAUGAACAAAUUCAAACAUGUAAGUCAUAAACAAACGACAACUACUGAAUAACAGGCUCCUGACUUGGGACAGGCACAUACAUACAGAACGGUGGCGGUGUUAAAUAUGUUAGCGGGAUCUCAAGUCCAUUUGUUGCAAUUUGAUAUCGAUAAUUCAUUGUUUCAAUAUAUUUGAGUAUGAUAAAUUAUUUGGGAUGGAGACUUAAUUUAAUUAUAAUGCAUUAGAUUGAAACUGAUAUAUGCUUUCUGAAUUAAAAAAAAAUCCUUGCAAUGACUCAUGAGUUAUGUUCUUGUUCUCUCACAAGCAAACCUCAGGCCAAUUGACAACAUAAAAUCAGCAUGUACUCAACCACACAUGAUAAAAGCCAGGCAUAUAAGCAAAAAAAAAUCAUAAUUCUACAAGGUACAUACAUAUAAACAGGAUUUUAAAAUGUCUGAAAUAUUUUUAGUAUUUUAACAUUUUUAUGAAAGUAGGUUAAUCAAAUACAUGGGAAUAUUGACAAAGUUACAUCAUAUCAGUUUGCAACUACAGAAAACAAUACUGGAAAUUGUUUUUAAAUUUUGCAUUCAUCAGAUCUAAACAGAAUUUGAUAUAUAUGCUUUGCAUCCUCCUGAAUAUAAUGAAAUAUUUGCCACUUGACAUUAAUCAACCAAUCUAUAUUUUUGAUCCUCCUGAAUGUAAUGAAAUAUUUGCCACUGGGAUUAAUUAAUCAAUCUAUAUCUUUGAUCCUCCUGAAUAUAAUGAAAUAUUUGCGACUGGGCAUUAAUUAACCAAUCUAUAUCUUUGAUCCUCCUGACUAUAAUGAAAUAUUUGCCACUGGGCAUUUAUCAACCGAUCUCAUAUUCUUUGCAAGGACGAUACUCCUUUUUUUUUAAAUAUUAUAAUGAUUAUAUAUAAAAUGAAAAAGGGUUUACAUGUUUGUUAAAACAUAUAGGUAUAGAACAAAUGGUUGUUAUUUCUACUAUUUUAUACUUUCAGGUUGUGAAACAACUGCUGAGCAAUAAGAUGGAACUAGCUGUUUGAUGAAGGAACUUUUUUUUAUUCAGUCUUAAUUUAGAACAUUUUGAAAAAUUAUUUUGUCCUGUCUUUGUACUUGUUAUAUAAAGCCAACGAAAAAAAAAUACCCAAAAUAAAGCAUUUUAUUCUUG
rnacentral:lncRNA from 1 species